rnacentral:SRP_RNA from 1 species
UGGUCCCCUCGCGGCGAUAUGCUGCAAACCCCGCCAGGCCCGGAAGGGAGCAACGGUAGUAGCAGAUUCGGGCGCCGAGGUGAGGCUG